GCCGGGGUAGCUCAGCGGGAGAGCAAGCGCUAGAGAGCAUCCGGCUGAAGACCGGAGGGUCCCGGGUUCAAAUCCCGGCCCCGGCACCA
rnacentral:tRNA from 2 species